rnacentral:rRNA from 1 species
AGUGAACGCUGGCGGUAGGCCUAACACAUGCAAGUCGAACGGCAGCACAGUAAGAGCUUGCUCUUACGGGUGGCGAGUGGCGGACGGGUGAGGAAUACAUCGUAAUCUACUUUUUCGUGGGGGAUAACGUAGGGAAACUUACGCUAAUACCGCAUACGACCUACGGGUGAAAGCAGGGGAUCUUCGGACCUUGCGCGAUUGAAUGAGCCGAUGUCGGAUUAGCUAGUUGGCGGGGUAAAGGCCCACCAAGUCGACGAUCCGUAGCUGGUCUGAGAGGAUGAUCAGCCACACUGGAACUGAGACACGGUCCAGACUCCUACGGGAGGCAGCAGUGGGGAAUAUUGGACAAUGGGCGCAAGCCUGGUCCAGCCAUACCGCGUGGGUGAAGAAGGCCUUCGGGUUGUAAAGACCUUUUGUUGGGAAAGAAAAGCAGCAGGUUAAUACCCCGCUGUUCUGACGGUACCCAAAGAAUAAGCACCGGCUAACUUCGUG